rnacentral:tRNA from 1 species
GAGGUUGUGGCUCAGUGGUAGAGCGCUCGCCUAGCAUGUGCGAGGCCCUGAGUUCAAUCCUCAGCGCCACA